UCAUUAUAAUUUAAAUUAAAAAUAUUGAUUUGCAAAAUCAGAAAUAUCUUAAUGAGUU
rnacentral:tRNA from 1 species